ACAGUCAUAUCACAUUGAAACACUAGUUUUCAUCCGAUCACGGAAGUCAUGCAACGUUGUGCCUGGUCAGUACCUAGAUAGGUAACCUCUCGGGAAUAUCAGUUGCUGGAA